GAUGAACGCUGGCUACAGGCUUAACACAUGCAAGUCGAGGGGAAACGGCAUUGAGUGCUUGCACUGAAUGGACGUCGACCGGCGCACGGGUGAGUAACGCGUAUCCAACCUUCCCGUUACUGCGGGAUAACCUGCCGAAAGGCAGACUAAUACCGCAUGUUCUUCGAUGACGGCAUCAGAUUCGAAGCAAAGAUCCGUCGGUAACAGAGGGGGAUGCGUCUGAUUAGCUAGUUGGCGGGGCGACGGCCCACCAAGGCGACGAUCAGUAGGGGUUCUGAGAGGAAGGUCCCCCACAUUGGAACUGAGACACGGUCCAAACUCCUACGGGAGGCAGCAGUGAGGAAUAUUGGUCAAUGGGCGGAAGCCUGAACCAGCCAAGUAGCGUGCAGGAUGACGGCCCUACGGGUUGUAAACUGCUUUUAUGCGGGGAUAAAGUGAGGGACGCGUCCCUUUUUGCAGGUACCGCAUGAAUAAGGACCGGCUAAUUCCGUG
rnacentral:rRNA from 1 species